rnacentral:pre_miRNA from 1 species
UGUCUCCCAGCCUGAGGUGCAGUGCUGCAUCUCUGGUCAGCUGGGAGUCUGAGAUGAAGCACUGUAGCUCGGGAAGGGGGAAGC